CGAAUGUAGCCAUGAAGACCUCUUUCGGGUUCAGGGCGUCUGGAGUCGGGUGUUGCUGUUGGAGGGAACCGAAAACGUGUCUCUCCGGAGCGAGCUCGUCCAGGCUCCUGCAAUCCCGUCUGGGGUCCGCCAACGGUGGCCGUCGGUGGUCCAUCAGGGUCGUGGGGUAGGUGCCUUCCGCUCGGUCGUGAAGAGCAAAUAGCCCGUGGCUCGGAGAUCGCUGGCGGCCGAGGAGCGUUUGCGACCAGCAAUCGCACGACAAGCGCAGGCUGGGCCGGGUCGCUCUUGGACAUGCGUGCCUCGAGGCGUGUGACUGCAAGCAGUGACCGUCGACGUAAAGGUGCGCUCGGCCGAGAGGUCGACCACGAUGUGCGCUGGAGUCGUUGGCGUACGUAUGGCUCCAUCCGA
rnacentral:rRNA from 1 species